UCCCGUUUAGCUCAGCUGGUAGAGCGCGUCACUAGUAUCUUGAGUUCACAGCUCUUCCCUAAUGACGAGGUCAGUCGUUCAAGUCGGCUAAUGGGAA